rnacentral:rRNA from 1 species
UAGGGAAUCUUCGGCAAUGGGGGGAACCCUGACCGAGCAACGCCGCGUGAGUGAAGAAGGUUUUCGGAUCGUAAAGCUCUGUUGUUAAGGAAGAACGAGUGUGAGAAUGGAAAGUUCAUACUGUGACGGUACUUAACCAGAAAGGGACGGCUAACUACGUGCCAGCAGCCGCGGUAAUACGUAGGUCCCGAGCGUUGUCCGGAUUUAUUGGGCGUAACGCGAGCGCAGGCGGUUAGAUAAGUCUGAAGUUAAAGGCAGUGGCUCAACCAUUGUAGGCUUUGGAAACUGUUUAACUUGAGUGCAGAAGGGGAGAGUGGAAUUCCAUGUGUAGCGGUGAAAUGCGUAGAUAUAUGGAGGAACACCGGUGGCGAAAGCGGCUAUCUGGUCUGUAACUGAUGCUGAGGCUCGAAAGCGUGGUGAGCGAACAGG